AACGAACGCUGGCGGCAUGCCUAACACAUGCAAGUCGAACGAGACCUUCGGGUCUAGUGGCGCACGGGUGCGUAACGCGUGGGAACCUGCCCUUAGGUUCGGAAUAACUCCCCGAAAGGGGUGCUAAUACCGGAUAAUGUCUUCGGACCAAAGAUUUAUCGCCUUUGGAUGGGCCCGCGUUGGAUUAGCUAGUUGGUAGGGUAAAAGCCUACCAAGGCGACGAUCCAUAGCUGGUCUGAGAGGAUGAUCAGCCACACUGGGACUGAGAAACGGCCCAGACUCCUACGGGAGGCAGCAGUGGGGAAUAUUGGACAAUGGGCGAAAGCCUGAUCCAGCAAUGCCGCGUGAGUGAUGAAGGCCUUAGGGUUGUAAAGCUCUUUUACCCGGGAUGAUAAUGACAGUACCGGGAGAAUAAGCUCCGGCUAACUCCGUG
rnacentral:rRNA from 1 species